rnacentral:misc_RNA from 1 species
CCAAUAGCGUAUAUUACAGUUGUUGCAGUUAAAAAGCUCGUAGUUGAAUUUCGAGAUCAAAUUGUUGGUCGUGCCUCGGUACGUACUGGCAUUAUUGAUUUCUCCCUUCUGAAGAACCUUGAUGUCAUUAAUUUGGUGUCUUGGGGAAUCAGGACCGUUACUUUGAAAAAAUUAGAGUGUUUAAAGCAGGCUCACGCUUGAAUACAUUAGCAUGGAAUAAUGAAAUAGGACGUUUGAUUCUAUUUUGUUGGUUUCUAGGAUCGACGUAAUGAUUAAUAGGGAUAGUUGGGGGCAUUAGUAUUCAAUUGUCAGAGGUGAAAUUCUUGGAUUUAUUGAAGACUAACUACUGCGAAAGCAUUUGCCAAGGAUGUUUUCAUUAAUCAAGAACGAAAGUUAGGGGAUCGAAGACGAUCAGAUACCGUCGUAGUCUUAACCAUAAACUAUGCCGACUAGGGAUCGGAUGAUGUUAAUUUUUUAAUGACUCAUUCGGCGCCUUACG